rnacentral:rRNA from 1 species
AUGCGGAGGAUCCGAGCGUUAUCCGGAUUUAUUGGGUUUAAAGGGUGCGCAGGCGGCCAUUUAAGUCAGCGGUUAAAUCGUGGGGCUCAACCCCAUUCUGCCGUUGAUACUGGGUGGCUUGAUUGCGGUCGAGGUUGGCGGAAUUCGUUGUGUAGCGGUGAAAUGCAUAGAUAUGACGAAGAACACCGAUUGCGUAGGCAGCUGACCAGACCGCAAAUGACGCUCAUGCACGAAAGUGCGGGGAUCGAACAGGAUUAGAUACCCUGGUAGUCCGCACAGUAAACGAUGAAUACUUGUUUUCGGCGAUAUAAUGUCGGAGGCAAAGCGAAAGCGAUAAGUAUUCCACCUGGGGAGUACGCCGGCAACGGUGAAACUUAAAGGAAUUGACGGGG